GAUGAACGCUGGCGGCGUGCCUAAUACAUGCAAGUCGAGCGAACAGACGAGGAGCUUGCUCCUCUGACGUUAGCGGCGGACGGGUGAGUAACACGUGGAUAACCUACCUAUAAGACUGGGAUAACUUCGGGAAACCGGAGCUAAUACCGGAUAAUAUAUUGAACCGCAUGGUUCAAUAGUGAAAGACGGUUUUGCUGUCACUUAUAGAUGGAUCCGCGCCGCAUUAGCUAGUUGGUAAGGUAAAGGCUUACCAAGGCGACGAGGCGUAGCCGACCUGAGAGGGUGGUCGGCCACACGGGAACUGAGACACGGUCCAGACUCCUACGGGAGGCAGCGGUAGGGAAUCUUCCGCAAUGGGCGAAAGCCUGACGGAGCAACGCCGCGUGAGUGAUGAAGGUCUUCGGAUCGUAAAACUCUGUUAUUAGGGAAGAACAAAUGUGUAAGUAACUAUGCACGUCUUGACGGUACCUAAUCAGAAAGCCACGGCUAACUACGUG
rnacentral:rRNA from 1 species